AGCAAAAUUCAAUAAUUAUGUUAAUAUCAACAUUUUCACAAACUUGUCUUCUGUUGACAGUAAUGCUCUAAAGCAGGGGUCCCCAAGCCCCAAGGUGCAGACCAGCUCUCUGCUAGGAACUGGGGCGCAUAGCAGGAGGUGAGCGGCAGAGAAGUCUUUUCCUAAAGAAGUCAUAAUUUAACAAAUUAAAAGUAUCUAAGCUCUUCUGCCAUUCAAAUCCUUCCUGCUUUCUGAGCAGCAACCACCUCCAAUGUCCUCAGGCACAGAGACGCAAAAUUUCCAGGCUCAGAGUGUUUCAAGGGCGGGGCAAGAGUUGUGAAUGUGUGUAUCCCUGGGCUUGCAUGGUGUUGGUAAGAAUGAAUAUUUGGGGUAUGGAUUGCACUGUGUCUGUGUUGAGGACCUGAUCCCAGAUGAUAGAGACCACCUUUGUGUUUGUUAGGAAAUAUUUAUGUGUGUGUGUGUGUGUG